GAUGAAGAACGUAGAAAUGCGAUACUUGGUGUGAAUUGCAGAAUCCCGUGAACCAUCGAGUCUUUGAACGCAAGUUGCGCCUCAAGCCAUUAGGUUGAGGGCACGUCUGCCUGGGCGUCACAUAUCGUUGCCUGAUGCCAGUUUCCUCGUGAUGGGUGACUGUGCAGGGCGAAUGAUGGCUUCCCGUGAGCAUUGUUGCCUCAUGGUUGGUUGAAAAUUGAGUCCUUGGUAGGGAGCGCCGUGAUAGAUGGUGGUUGAGUGACGAACGAGACCCAAUCAUGUGAGACCCCUACCGAAUUUGGCCUUCAUGACCCACAUGCGUCUUUGGAACGCUCAUGACGAGACCUCAGGUCAGGCGGGGCUACCCGCUGAGUUUAAGCAUAUCAAUAAGCGGAGGA
rnacentral:misc_RNA from 1 species